CACGUAGGGCGCAAGCGUUGUCCGGAAUUAUUGGGCGUAAAGAGCUCGUAGGCGGUCUGUUGCGUCCGCUGUGAAAACCCGGGGCUUAACCCUGGGCUGGCAGUGGAUACGGACAGACUAGAGGUAGGUAGGGGAGAAUGGAAUUCCCGGUGUAGCGGUGAAAUGCGCAGAUAUCGGGAGGAACACCGGUGGCGACGGCGGUUCUCUGGGCCUUACCUGACGCUGAGGAGCGAAAGCGUGGGGAGCGAACAGG
rnacentral:rRNA from 1 species